rnacentral:rRNA from 1 species
UACGUAGGGGGCGAGCGUUGUCCGGAUUUACUGGGCGUAAAGGGCGUGCAGGCGGUUUUCUAAGUUCGGAGUGACAGUUCCCGGCUCAACUGGGGAAGGCCUACCGAAAACUGGAGAACUUGAGGGCCAGAGAGGGACAUAGAAUUCCGGGUGGAGUGGUGAAAUGCGUAGAUAUCCGGAGGAAUACCAAAGGCGAAGGCAGUGUCCUGGCUGGCAUCUGACGCUGAGGCGCGAAAGCUAGGGGAGCGAACAGG